AUAGCCAUAUUCAGAAAAAAGCACCGGAAACCGUCAAAUCCCAGAAUUUAAGCCUCUGCAAGCUAUGUGAGUAGUUAUGCGAGAGAUUUUUUAGGAAAGCUUGGUGCCGUAAUUU